GUUGUGUAUAAUCUGAUAUCUGGAAUGUGAUGAGAUAUGGGGCUCGGCCAAUACCCAUUUGCUAUCUUGGUAUCGGGUUUGUCCAUUUUUCCCACUCUCAAAUCUUGAUUGGUAAGAAACCCCGAAAAUAAUUGAGGACACUGUGCUUCAGCUGUAACAAGAAAACCCCACAGGCUCUCUUCUGUUCGCUUUUGGGUUUCUUCAAAGGAAUUUUGGUCUGUUGAAAUGUGUAACUAUCAACCUUGGGAAGAGGAUUCACUUCAGAGUGAAGAUUAUGUACAAAGUACUGCAGAAGGCGUAGAUGUGGCGGAGACAGGGUGGGGAGCCCGGCUGGCAAUGUUGGAAGCAAGGGUAACUCGAGUGGAGGCUAGGGUGGAAAGACUUGAGGCGAAGAUGCUUCAUCUGCAGAAGGGAAUGAAUUUUGUUUGCGCGCUGUUUCUGUUUACUCUCAUGUAUGCAAUAUUCAAGUAAAUGUCAUUGUCAGGGAUGAUCAGAUCAUUAGUUUUCAGCUAUAUGCUCUAUAUUUCUGUGAGACAUAUAGUUAGGUAUAUGCUGAUUCUCUGAUCUGUUGAGUUUUAUUGCAACUAAUGGUAGGUUUGGAAAAUGGUUUGUUUUUUUAUUUUCCUUUUUUCCCUCUUAUGAUCCUGUAGAACUAUAUUUUAGUUUGGCAAUAUGCAGAAGCUUUGUGACGGAAAAUGAGCCAAGCAAAAACAGACCAAAGGUCUCUGAAUCAAUUUGUACAUUGAAUUUUA